AGAGUUUGAUCAUGGCUCAGGAUGAACGCUAGCUACAGGCUUAACACAUGCAAGUCGAGGGGCAGCAUGUUGGUUGCUUGCAACCAAUGAUGGCGACCGGCGCACGGGUGAGUAACGCGUAUCCAACCUACCCUUGUCCAUCGGAUAACCCGUCGAAAGGCGGCCUAACACGAUAUGCGGUUCUCAGCAGGCAUCUAACGAGAACGAAAUGUGAAGGAGAAGGAUGGGGAUGCGUCUGAUUAGCUUGUUGCGGGUAACGGCCACAAGGCGACGAUCAGUAGGGGUUCUGAGAGGAAGGUCCCCCANAUUGGAACUGAGACACGGUCAAACUCCUACGGGAGCA
rnacentral:rRNA from 1 species